GUGCUUCUAUGAAGCAAACGAUUUGAACGAAUCCCUCAAGAUUAUAAAUUCUAGUUAGUUGAAUACGAUUUUGUCUAGUGGGACAUUUACUCCGAAUAUUUCUGAAGUGGAGUUGGUUCUGUUUGAUGAUACCCCCAAAUCGCAAGCGAUAUCAUCAUUUCUGCUGCUAAAAGGGCGCAUUCUGGAAGCGAUGGACAAUAGGGGCUUAGCCUCUGAUUGCUAUAAGCAAGCCCUUCAUUGCGAUGUGUUCUGCUACGAAUCCUUCGACGUACUGAUUAAAUAUCAAAUGCUGAACGCUGCAGAAGAAAGGGCGCUGCUGCUUUUCAUCCCAAUAGCAGAUCAGUGCUCGCCAGACGAAGUCGAUAUCUUAAGAAACCUCUACGCAAUGAAGCUGAAAAAGUAACACACACCCACAGCCCCAUUGAACCGCGAGGUCCCCAUUUUGCUGACCGACAACAAGCUUGCCUCCAGCACGCCUGGGUGUAUCAAGUCGCUGCCGCUCUCGCCCAGCUUGCAUGUGUCCCCUUGCUCGAUAAGCAUCCCGAUGGUGGCGAAUAAUAAGGCCAAAAAGGCCAGCGAUAAAAUGCAAAUGGAUGCCACAGACCAUUGGGAUCUGGGCAAGUUUCAGGAUCGUUUGGACUUGAAGGUUUCACAAGCGGAGAUUUUGUACUACAACUGCGACUAUCAGAAUUGUGUCGCAUUGACCGAGAGCAUCCUGAAAAAGGAUCCUUAUCAUGAUGGGGGUUUGUCUAUACACAUUUCCU
rnacentral:lncRNA from 1 species